rnacentral:rRNA from 1 species
AUGUGCAAUAUACUGCCUAAACAUUGGGCACGUCAUGCACUUGACACACACUGCAAGACUGACUUAGUGGUCAAUAACAUUGGUGAGGUGUUCAACAACUACAUUCUCAAAGUCAGAGAUAAGGCAAUAGUGACCAUGAUUGAUUCAAUUAGGACCAAACUAAUGCCCAGAUAUGCAUCUAGGAGAGGAGGGGUAGAACAUGUCCACUGGGAAAUUACUCCUACUUAUGUUGAAAGAUUAGAGUGGGAGAAGAGAAAUGCAAGAUGGUGCACAGUUACCGUGAGGAGGCUACCAGAUGAAGCUUCAGCUCCUCUACGGGCUGUUGUGACGCCACAAGCAUCUCCACAGCCUGUUGCCCCACGUCCAGCUCCUUCACGUGCCGUUGCACCAACUCCAGCUCCUCCAAGGGCAACUGCUCAUUCCUCUCAAGAAUCCACCGUGACAGGAAGAUCUUCAAGUGCAAGCGGCUCACGUUUAGGAAUGCGACGAUAUGAAGAUAAUAGAUUGUUUUCCUACUUCACUCCAGGUCCAGGGUACCAACCUCGUCAAGAAUGA